UGCAUAGCAGAUAUAUGAUUUUAACUCACAGCUUUGACGACCUCCUAGCUCUGCUCCGAUGCUUCGGAUGGAGCGAGCCGAACAGACAGAUUAUCUAAUCAUGGAAAGAAUUUAUCAAUAACGCUGAAACAAUUGACAAUUAACCCUAGGUCUAGAUUUCUAGGAUUGACUGUCUAAGAAUCUCGACUCGGGUAAAUUCUACCGAAAAUUUGGCAAAACCUCUCCUACAACACGGACAUUUACCCCCUGUAAAAUAGGUCCAGGACUUGCCAAAAAAACACUUUAAAUAUUCAAUAAUUUAAUACAACGGGUGUCGAGUCCCUAAGACUUCACUAUUUUUCCCGACUCCGCCACACAUCCCAAAACAUGGCCUAAGGCAGGCAGUCCAACAAAUAAUUAUUUUGACUCAUAAUAUUUUCUAAUACUCAAUACAAUUCAAUAAACAUAUAACUUUACCAAAGAAUUCUAAAAUCAACGAGUUAAAAAAAAUUAUCGAGACGCUUGAUAGCUCGGUUGACUCGCCUCUAGCCGACGGAGUCCGAUUGAUGAUCUGAACACACCAACGGACUCGAAACGACGCGCUGAUGACGAUCCCUGCUUCCGAUCUUCCGAUCCUACCCUUGAUCAUCCGAAGAAAUUUACGGACGAUCUCGACCGUCGAUUUACAAACGGAGUUCGAUUGCUACGAAACUACUGCCGUUGGAAAGCUUGUGACGAGGAGAGUCCGAAUGCGUGUUCAGAUCGUCCGAAGCUCAACGGCACUAGCCAGAAAAACUCCAAAAACCGAACUGUCCUUACAAGCUCUUCUUGCUGGAUCUCCUUCCUCAACAACCUUCACAUUUGAUGUUAUCCUCGAAGAAACCCACCGGCCGCUGGCCAUUUGAAACUAGAACCACUAAAAUGGUUGCCGGAGUUACUACCAUGCUUGCUAACUCGGCUGCUUCGACAACCAGCUGCAACGACGCUGAUGACAGCUUCAAGCGGAUAGAACGAAGAUAGCGCUGCACUGGCGACGCUAGAGCACUCCUCGCCGAAGCUCGACGCAGCGCAGCGACGCUGGAGCGCUCCUUGCCGAAGCUCGACGGCCUCCGCACGCC
rnacentral:lncRNA from 1 species